rnacentral:lncRNA from 1 species
GCCAGCUUGCUAACGGCCUUGCCCCAUUCAGAUGCAUCGAACUCACAGAACAUCGCUCCCCAGCUGCUGGCUCGCGGUUCUGAAAGUGCCUGAAUAGAAAACCACUCAUUUCCCUUCGCAAAAGAGGCACCCAAAGCAGAUAUUUCAAUAUAUUCCAAUUUAGCCGAGGGAAGCCAGAACAUGGAUGUUGUUGCCAAGGAAACCACCUCCUUCCUCCUGUGUGCUGUGCAUACGUGUAUCACUUCAUCUCUCUGCUCUCCAAGCUUGAAUCUAGAUCUGACGUGGAUAUCCUGCCACAGUUCCGAAGUCUACCUAGUGCCCCAGCUGAACCUGCCCUGGCUCCUAGGUGGGGUGUGGACAUCUGUGGCAUCCCUCCCCAACACCCCACCAAGCUGGGCUGCAAGACGGGUUAUGGUGGCCCCAUGACUUCCUUCCUUG